rnacentral:rRNA from 1 species
GAUGAACGCUGGCGGCGUGCCUAACACAUGCAAGUCGAGCGAGAUGUAUAUGGACGAAACUUCGGUCUAGGAAAUAUAUUGACAGCGGCGGACGGGUGAGUAACGCGUAGGCAACCUGCCCUUAACACAGGGAUAGCCUCGGGAAACCGGGAUUAAAACCUGAUAAUGCCAAAUAGUCACAUGGCUGUUUGGCCAAAGAUUUAUCGGUUAAGGAUGGGCCUGCGUCUGAUUAGUUUGUUGGUGGGGUAACGGCCUACCAAGACUACGAUCAGUAGCCGACCUGAGAGGGUGAUCGGCCACAUUGGAACUGAGACACGGUCCAAACUCCUACGGGAGGCAGCAGUGGGGAAUAUUGCACAAUGGGCGAAAGCCUGAUGCAGCAACGCCGCGUGAGCGAUGAAGGCCUUUGGGUCGUAAAGCUCUGUCCUUGGGGUAAGAACAAAUGACGGUACCCAAGGAGGAAGCCCCGGCUAACUACGUGCCAGCAGCCGCGGUAAU